GACGAACGCUGGCGGCGUGCCUAAUACAUGCAAGUCGACCUUAGUGGCGAACGGGUGAGUACCACGUGGGUAACCUGCCCCUUAGAAGGGGAUAACACUUGGACACAGGUGUUAAUACCGUAUACUGAUGGAUGGACCCGGGGUGCAUUAGCUAGUUGGUGAGGUAACGGCUCACCAAGGACACGAUGCAUAGCCGGACUGAGAGUGUGUGCAGCCACAGUGGAACUGAGACACGGCCCAAACUCCUACGGGAGGCAGCAGUAGGGAAUCUUCGGCAAUGGACGAAAGUCUGACCGAGCAACGCCGCGUGAGUGAAGAAGGUUUUCGGAUCGUAAAACUCUGUUGUUAGAGAAGCGGUAUCUAACCAGAAAGCCACGGCUAACUACGUGCCAGCCGCCGCGGUAAUAC
rnacentral:rRNA from 1 species